GGCUGCUUAGCUCAGUUGGUAGAGUGUCAGAUUCCAGCCAUGUGCGGAUCUACGCAUUUGGUGCGUCCUGAAAGUCGUCGGUUCAACUCCGGCAGCGGUCA
rnacentral:tRNA from 1 species